UACGUAGGGUGCAAGCGUUGUCCGGAAUUAUUGGGCGUAAAGAGCUCGUAGGCGGUCUGUUACGUCGGCUGUGAAAACCUGGGGCUCAACUCCGGGCCUGCAGCCGAUACGGGCAGACUAGAGUUCGGCAGGGGAGACUGGAAUUCCUGGUGUAGCGGUGAAAUGCGCAGAUAUCAGGAGGAACACCCGUGGCGAAAGCGGCUCUCUGGGACGGUACUGACGCUGAGACGCGAAAGCGUGGGGAGCAAACAGG
rnacentral:rRNA from 1 species